GGAUGUGUGGGUGAUCUGGCCGCAUAGGUGAUCAGAUUGUGACAGUGUUACUCACUGACUGCCAUGGCUGAUCUGGCCUNCUAAGUGGGUGCCCUCUUCCCCCUUCAACAUCCCACAUGUGUCCCUCCCACACUCGGAGGCUGUGUGCUGGGUCAGUGAGAACUCUGUUCCUCAUCAAUAAGGACAGUUCUUCUGACAAAAGUAUCCAAGUGGCUAUGCUCCCAUGAUAGAACCACCAAACAAGCUUCAGGAAAAUNAAUUAUAGUAGUAGAGAGUGGCGGUGGGGUGACUUGUUCUAGACUCCUUCUAGCACAGCUGAGCAUGCUACAAAUAAGUGGCAGGUGCAGAUAUGCCAUAC
rnacentral:snRNA from 1 species